CCUACGGGAGGCAGCAGUGGGGAAUAUUGGACAAUGGGCGAAAGCCUGAUCCAGCAAUGCCGCGUGAGUGAUGAAGGCCUUAGGGUUGUAAAGCUCUUUUACCCGGGAUGAUAAUGACAGUACCGGGAGAAUAAGCUCCGGCUAACUCCGUGCCAGCAGCCGCGGUAAUACGGAGGGAGCUAGCGUUGUUCGGAAUUACUGGGCGUAAAGCGCACGUAGGCGGCUUUGUAAGUUAGAGGUGAAAGCCUGGAGCUCAACUCCAGAAUUGCCUUUAAGACUGCAUCGCUUGAAUCCAGGAGAGGUGAGUGGAAUUCCGAGUGUAGAGGUGAAAUUCGUAGAUAUUCGGAAGAACACCAGUGGCGAAGGCGGCUC
rnacentral:rRNA from 1 species